CCGGCUUACCAACCCGAUGCAAACUGCGAAUACCGGAGAAUGUUAUCACGGGAGACACACGGCGGGUGCUAACGUCCGUCGUGAAGAGGGAAACAACCCAGACCGCCAGCUAAGGUCCCAAAGUCAUGGUUAAGUGGGAAACGAUGUGGGAAGGCCCAGACAGCCAGGAUGUUGGCUUAGAAGCAGCCAUCAUUUAAAGAAAGCGUAA
rnacentral:rRNA from 1 species